ACUCCUACGGGAGGCAGCAGUGGGGAAUCUUAGACAAUGGGGGCAACCCUGAUCUAGCCAUGCCGCGUGAGUGAUGAAGGCCUUAGGGUCGUAAAGCUCUUUCGCCUGUGAUGAUAAUGACAGUAGCAGGUAAAGAAACCCCGGCUAACUCCGUGCCAGCAGCCGCGGUAAUACGGAGGGGGUUAGCGUUGUUCGGAAUUACUGGGCGUAAAGCGCGCGUAGGCGGAUUAGAAAGUUGGGGGUGAAAUCCCGGGGCUCAACCUCGGAACUGCCUCCAAAACUGCUAGUCUAGAGUUCGAGAGAGGUGAGUGGAAUUCCGAGUGUAGAGGUGAAAUUCGUAGAUAUUCGGAGGAACACCAGUGGCGAAGGCGGCUCACUGGCUCGAUACUGACGCUGAGGUGCGAAAGUGUGGGGAGCAAACAGGAUUAGAUACCCUGGUAGUCCACACCGUAAACGAUGAAUGCCAGUCGUCGGGUAGUAUACUAUUCGGUGACACACCUAACGGAUUAAGCAUUCCGCCUGGGGAGUACGGUCGCAAGAUUAAAACUCAAAGGAAUUGACGGGGGCCCGCAC
rnacentral:rRNA from 1 species